AAGCCUUGGUCCUGCAAACAUGAUGGGGCGUUGAAGUUGAGUACACUGAACUUCUACACACUGCCAGAGUCGCCAACGCACCACAGCAUGAGGAAGGCGAGGGAGAGGAGAGCCGUCCCCAGCAGGUCUCCGAGGGCCGUCAGAUAUAGUAAAGCAGUUAUGAAGCACGGAGAGGAAAAACGACCACGCGCCCGACUCACCUGGAUCAGUGACGCGGACAAGAAGGCAACGGUCAAGAGCGGACUGGGCAAAGUGUGGCCUCCUUUGAUCAGGUGAAUGGCGUG